rnacentral:lncRNA from 1 species
UGAACUAAUCAUUGGUCAACGCACAAUAACUUUUUUAUAUGCGUGUGAAUUCAAAAGCAUCCAAAGAGGUAUAAUUUAAUUUAUAUUUUGUACAAACAAUUUUUUAGACUUGUUCUUUUUCACAUUGAUGGUUUACUUUGCAUGAUUAAGUUGAAUUAGUUGAGUUACAAUUAGAGUUAUCUAAAUAAAUAUAGGGUAAUGGAUAACUCAACAAUCGAACCAAAUCAUUUGGGUUUGGUUACCUGAUAAUCGAUUUUUUUUGUUAUCGGUUUGAUAUUGAUUAUUAAAAUUUUCAAAAAUUUCGGUAUCGAUUAAUCUGAUAACCGAUUUAGGUUAACUGAAUAACUGAUUUUAAUUUAAUUUAUAAUUUAAUAUAUAUAUAUAUAUAUAUAUAUAUAUAGGAUAUAUAUAUACACAUAUAUUAUAAAAAUUGAUAUUUAGUUAAAAUAAAAUUAUGUUGUAUUAAAAAAAUAAGAAAGAGUUUUGGUAUAGUUGAUAAGUAGUGUCUUGUACUUGUUUUUGACCAUGUUCGAAUCCUCAAAGUAGCAAUUUUUGCAAAAAAAAUAAAUAAAUAAGUGGACUUGGGCCAUUACGGUGUAAGAACGGUUAGUGGAUUGAGCCCAAUUCGAUUUCAAUUAAUUGAAAUUUUUGGUUCAGAUAACUGAACUCGAACCAUCGACCCUAGUUAUAAUAGAGUUCGAUGUGGAUUGUAGUCCGAUUAAAAUUGAAUAAAAACAAAUAUAUUAGAUAGAUUAAGCUCGAACUCGAAUAAUUUAAUUACAAAUAAAUAAAAUUCAAAUACAAAAUAUUCAAUUCGAUUCAAUCCAAUUACAUAUUAUUUGACAUCAUUUAAAACUUAAUAUAUAAGUUGUUGACUCUACCUAUAAUUGAGCCAUUGACCCAACUCCAACCAUAUACGUAUGUUAUCAAGUAUUUGCUGCCCUCAAUUAAUUAUCCAAAGAAUAAACUCAACAAUCAAUAAAUCAUAAUUUUGUUGAUCAAUUCAAACUACAAACUCGGGCAUAUCUCCAUGUGCAAGUCACAACAAAGUCUACACUUUUAAAAUCAACUUCAAAUUAAAAACUUAUAUUUAUAUAGUACUUCUUAUAUUCUUUAUAAAGUUGACUAUUAUCCACUCCCAAAAAAAUAUUACCUCACAUGACUCCUAAAACAAAAAUUCCAUCUCAAUAACUUAUCAUCACAUGGCGCCGUACAUAUCAUAACAUGAAUACAUGAUCAAGUUUUGAAGUAGGCCAUGACGUUCCCAAAUAAAUUACCUAAAUUAAAUAAUUUUGAUCGUUUAUAUACAAACAAGUACAACCAUUGAAUAUUUAUUAUUCAAGAAAUUAAUCAAAACUCAAAGCGACAGUUGCAAAGAUCAUCAAAUUCCCAUAUAAAUACCACAUCCAACCGUCUCAACCUCCAUCAAAAAAUAGAAACAUUCAAAUAUUAUAUCCUUAAAAUUACAAAAUGAUUUCCCUAAUUUCAAUCAUUUUAUUCUCUCACUUCAUUCUAUCAUCAUGGUUGGGCAAUGCACAAGGCGCCACGCUCACAUUCAACGUGAUCCGAUUUGGCGCGAAGCCAGAUGGGAUCACCGACGCCACGCCGCCGUUCCUCAAGGCGUGGGCGGCGGCGUGCGCGGCCGCGACGGCGUCGACGAUUUACGUGCCGAAGGGGCGGUACCUAUUGAGGUCGGCGGAGUUUAGAGGGCCGUGCAAGAGCAAGAUUAGAGUUCAAAUUGAUGGAACUCUUGUAGCUCCGGUUGACUACCGCGCACUCGGAAAUUCCGACUACUGGAUUCUGUUCAUUCAGGUGAACUGGAUCACCGUCGUCGGGGGGAAUCUCGACGCGAAGGGCGCCGGAUUAUGGGCGUGCAAGGCCUCCGGCAAGAGUUGCCCCACCGGAGCGAGGGUAAAUUUGUCAAUUCAAACUAUUUUGCAUGUGUGUGCGUGUGUUUUUUUUUUUUUUUUUUGCUAUCACUGUGUCAUUUUAGAGGGUGUUUGGCUCAGCUUAUAAGACGCAGUUUAUUAUUAAGAGCUUAUAAAUUGAACUUAUAAAUUAGAGAAAAAAAAAUUGUGUUAGAGAGAGAAAACUGAAGAGUGAUGAAUUUAAAAGAAUAUAUGAUAGAAAUAAUAAAUUAUAAUUAAAUAAUAUUUGUAAAAUUAUUGUUGCAUAUACGAUUAUAGAAAAAUGAAGUUGGAGUUGUAGAAUUUUUUUUGAGGUGCUUAUUUUUACAACUUAAGAAUUUAUUUUGCUGAACACUUUGGACAAAUAUUGUAUUUUGUCACAACGUUUGACUUCUUUUCAAUAAUGCCACUUUUUUUUAAAGAUAAAUAAAUAAAUAGCAAAUCGUUACAUAAUGUUUCAACUUUUUCUGAAUGAGUUUAUCAAGAGCCCUAAUUAAUCCUAGCACCGAAAAAUCCACGUGAAUUUUCACAUCAUAUUUGGCAUGCCAAAUGGAUUCUUCAAUGCUGAAAUUCAAUCCUCGUGACAUUUUAAUGUUUUGUAAUGUUUUGAAAUUCAAUCCUCGUGAAAUUUAAUGCUGAAAAAAAUUGUAAUAUUUCGUGUAAAUUUGCCAAAAAUUGAAAGAAGUGACAUUAUUGAAAACAUCGUAUUAAUUUUGUCACAAUGUUUUUAAUCUACGUAUUUCACAUCAAAUACGGCGUACCACGUGAAAAACAUCAAAUUUAUUACUAUAUGGUGUUUUUCAAUGGUAUUUUAUUAUAUAUCUACGUAUUAUUUGCCAAAAACGGUAUUUCUUUCAUUUAAUUUGUAUAGUAGGAAGUCAAAUAAUUAUGAAGAAUUGAUUUCUUUCAACUUUGAAAUAAGUCAAGUACAAUGAAGUAAUUAAAGAAUUCGGUAAGUGAGCUAACCUCACUGCCAUAGUUCCCACCACUUGCUAUCAAUUUCAAUCUUUCUUUAAUUAAUGUUAUUUAUAUCACAAUCAAGUAGUGCUUAAAUACCAUAUGUACUCAAGGAUUUAUGAGUUAGUACGAAAUUCUUUUUAGUUAGUUGGAAUUUUUCUUGGUGAGGGUGUGAACUAAUUUAAAUUUAGGAUCAUCAAAAACAUUUAUUGAUGACAUACCAUACCAUACCCCAUCUUGCUCUUAUUGUUAUUAAACUUAAGCACAUAUUUUAUUAUAUAUAAUCUACCCUGUGACAGAAAAUUUCUCUGUCAGUCUAAGUACUUUUUCAGCCUUUUUUUCAAUAGGACAUGGUUCUAUAGAGAAUGCUUUAUAUUUAGAAAUUGUAGAAUGGCGAAUAAAUCAAUAAAUUCAUGAACAGGCGUAUCUAUUUAAUAUAUCAAAAAACAUACCCCCAACAUGAUUUGAACCCAGACGAAAAUGUCAUUUCAUGCAGAGGAACCUUGAUUUAUUCGAAAAAAUUAUUGACUUAUUUAGAAGUAUCAAAUUCAUUCUCUGAUAUAACAUUCUCUAUUGAACCUUUCUCAUUAUUAAUAUUAAUAUUAUUAAGACGACAUUCGACUAACCCUAGUUAUGUUUCAAAAUUGCAGUCAAUCACAUUUAAUUGGGUUAACAACGCUGAGAUUAAAGGGUUAACCUCGAUUAAUAGCCAAUUAAUGCACAUUGUGAUCAAUAGUUGCAAGAAUGUGAAAGUGAGCAAUGUGAAGAUCAUAGCGCCGGAUCUAAGCCCUAACACUGAUGGGAUUCAUGUACAAUCAUCAACGGGAGUCACUAUCACCAAUGCCCUCAUCAAAACCGGCGACGACUGUGUAUCCAUCGGGCCCGGGACUAGGAAUCUGUGGAUGGAAAAGAUUAAAUGUGGCCCCGGACACGGUGUCAGGUAGCCUAUAAACUCUCAUUUUUCGGACUUCCAUCUUCUAUUUAAACCUAGAAUCGAUAAUUCAUGCUCUCUUCGUUCCGUAAGAGAGUAUCACUUGGGAGAUGACACGGGUUUUAAAAAAUUAUUUGAUAGAUAAUAUGUUGAGUGAAAAAGGGUUCACUAUUUCUCAGAAAAAAUGAUAAUAUGUGGUAGAUAACGUGUGAGAUCGUGUGCCAAAAUGGAAGUAAUAUUUUCUUAUGAAAUUGACGAAAAUGAAAAUUGUGAUAUUUUUUUAUGGGACAGAGAGAGUUUGAGAUAUAUUUGACCAUUUAACCUUUUAAAAAAAAUUACCCUUCAAAAUUAGAUAUUAGAUCAUAUUUAAAAGACAUUGGGAAAAUCUUGUUUGUUUGAAUAAAUGUUUUCAUUUAAUAUAUUUUGCACACUAUAAUCUUUAUUUUAUUUAUCUUUUUGACAGCAUUGGGAGUUUGGGCCGAGCUUUUGAAGAGGAUGGUGUGGAAAACGUGACAUUAAUAAAUUCAGCUUUCAGUGGUUCCGAUAAUGGGCUUCGAAUAAAAACAUGGGCCCGGCCCAGCAAGGGAUUUGUCAGAAAUAUUAAUUUUCGAAAUAUAGUUAUGAAAAAUGUUGAGAAUCCCAUCAUUAUAGACCAAAAUUACUGCCCCAACAAUGAAGGUUGUCCUAGCCAGGUAAAUAUUAGUAUAAUUCUCAAUGUGUUAUUUUACUUCUUCUUUUUAGAUGAAAGUCAUAAGCAUUUAAAAUUAUUUAAAUUCAGAAAAUAUCAAUUUUAUGAAUUUUUUCUUAGACAAUAUCAAUUUUAUAAUUUAUUAAAUGGUGGCGGGUACAUUAUUGAAAAAUGCUCGAUUUAAAUUGAUAUUUAGAUUAAUUAAUUUCUAUUAAUUUUGGCAGGGUUCGGGAAUAAAAAUUAGCCAAAUUACAUACCAAAAUAUACAAGGAACAUCUGCAACAAAAGUAGCCAUGACAUUUGACUGCAGCCAUACAAAUCCAUGCAGCAAUAUCAAAUUAAAUGACAUUAAACUCACUUAUUUGAAAUCAACUAAAGCACAAUCCUUCUGCAAAAACAUCGCCGGAAGUUCCGGCGGCGUCAUCAUGCCGGAAAAUUGCUUGUAGCCUGAAAAAGAAGAAGACGAAGACGAAGACGACGACAAUUUUAUGGGAUCGGAGCAAUAUAUGAAUUGCUUAAAAUGUAGAGGUAGUUUAGAAAUUCCAAAGAGUUUAAUUUCUUUGUUGUGAGUUUUUCAACAAAAGUGAUGAAGAUCAACUCCAAAGUCGUGAGACACAUUGUUGGAUGUAACAUAUUUAAAUUCACAUUCAAUAAAUGGUGGAGUUUAUAUCAUUACUUCAUUUUUUAAUUUAAUAGUACUGCAUUUUGUGUUCUAAAAGAAUUAUGAAUUCUACUAAUUUAUUAUGCUAAAUUGCUAAUAGAAAAUUAUCACAUAAUAACCAUAUAAUGAUAUCUAACAAGCAUUUGCAAAAUUAAAUUUGAGAUCCACACCAUCAUCUUCAAUUAUAGCAUCCAAACCUUAAAAUAUCCGAUCACAAAAUGGACUUGAUCAAUUAAUUCUAUAUAUUUCUAUAUAUACCAAACAAAAGAAUUUCCUAUUUCCCUAUCCAUUUCUACAAAUAUGUACCUUGUGAUUAGAUUUGUGCCAUCAAACAAUACAAUGCUGACAUGACCUCCUUAGCAACCACGAUGAAGAUGCAAGUCGUUCGACACGAAUUAGGCCGACACGAAAUUAGGCGAAAACGACGCACAUUGUAGCCAGGCCAAAGAUCUCAGAUUCGACUGCAGAUGCUGACAUUUUAGGGUUUGAAAAACCUCAGCUAUCUCAAAACGAUUUUUGGUGCGAGCUGCCUUCUUGUUUAUUGGCUGCAGGAUUGCUUCUCUGAUCUAUCCGAAUCGCGUUCCCGCUGAAGCGGUGCCGGACAAUUACACGGUGCGUUUUUACGUCGGUCGAGCAACUGCCUUGCACCGCCACCACCAAGAUCAGCUCCUUGUCCUUGGUGUCUUCAGCCCACCAUGUUUGUGGAACUCCCUCGACCAAAUCCUCCAACUUGUGGAACUCCUCGUGAUGCACCGACACGUCCGCAACUUGAUCCGGCCGGAUCAGGCCGGCCGCCGGUGUCACCUGUUUCAUAAGUCGAAAGCUUAGGGUUAGGGGUGUAAUGAACUGAGCUGACUCGCAAACUAUUCGAGAAAAGCCAAACAUAUGUAAAAGUCAAUCUUUCAACAUCCAAUUUUUCAAUACUCGACUCGAUUCGUUUACACCCUUCUGCAUUGUAAGAAUCAAGAACUCGGAUCGGGAUUUACCUCGAGCCAACGCGGGAAGCCGAAGGAGCCCCGCGGGCGGUAGUCGGGCUCGGUGACGUCAUCCUUGAUGGCGCAUAGUCCCACACACACAAUCUUGUAAAACACGCUCUCAUCAGCGCUCCGAUUGCUGAUCUUCAAGUUGAAUGUGUCUUGGUUCUGCAGCUCGAUGCUGUUCGUGCUGACCGACGUCUCCGGCACGAAGCGCAACGCCUCGAUGCUCGACCUGACCGCCUCGUUGGUCGCGAGGAUCUUCGCAAACUCCUGCCUCCGGAUCGUCUUGUCGACAUGAGCAAUGUCGAGGUUGAGCUUGCACCGGACGGGCUUGUGGUCGCUCUCGAUCACGUCCAUACAAGCUUCGUACCUUGAUGAUCGGGACGAGGAGACGACGGUCACAACGACGAAUAACCAAAGGUGAAACGAGCAGAAUUCGAAAGAAACAAGGCUUACUGCGAUAUGGAGGCGAUCACGGGGCAAUCUAAGCUGCAUUCUUUCGCUGUACCUGCUUUGUUAUCGCGAUAUAGAACUCGGUCGCACCAAGCCGGGAUUCGUUUCUUCUCACCGGAAUCGUAACCUAGAAGGCAUACGAUUAGAUCGACAGUAAUAGGAUAGAGUAUUUGAAGCAUAACGUUAUCAACAAGCUCAAAUUGGCCAAAGGCUCAUAAAGGGAAGUAUUAUUACAAGCUCAAUAAGGGUAUGUUUGGUACACUGUAAGAUUGUUAAAUAUUCUUGGCUUAUACGUGCGUUUGAUAGUCCAUAUUAUUUAACAAGGCGGCCCGUGAUAGUUAAAAGAGCCUAAUCUUAUUCUAUUAUUUCACCUUGAUAAGUAAUACCUCCUUCACCCUGAUCAUAUUAUUUAUCUUAGGCUAGAUAGAUAAUUAAUCUCGUCUUUUCAAUAUUAUUUAUCUUGAUUUUAUUAAUCACACCAUUUGCAUUAAAAGGUAACUUUCCCUAUUAUUUUUAUUUAUCUAGGCGUGUCACUCAAAGUAAACGCCCCCUAAAAGAAACAACGAGCGGCAAUAAGGGCGUUUGCGUUACCUCCUAAACCCGGUUUCCCUUUCUCGAACUUGUACGUGGGAGGAAACCUAAUGAGGGCCUCCCGAAACCCUUGGAAAACUCUUCCGGCCUUCAUCUCCGCUCGUAGCUGGUCUUUCUCGCGAAGCCAAUCAAAGCUUCGCUGAGAGACCAAGUCCCGAGCUUCAUCAUAAGUGAUGCCGAAGAGGCGAUAAUUAAAAUCGCCAUUAAAGACAGUCAUAUCAGCCUCACCAAGAUCAGGCCUUGCCUCUUCAGGACUAGUAGGCGUACUCUGCUGCAGAUUUUAAAAAAAAAAAAUCACAAGAGAACUUCACUUAAAACCAAAACUUCACAAAAUCAAAAAGGGUUAAUCAUGUUUUAAGACCCAAAUGUUCAGUGUUUUCCAAAAAAUGUCUUCAACUAAUGAUCUCUAUUACAAAACCCUUAGCUUCUUGAAAAUUUUGAUUUAUGCCCCGCUUUAGAAAAUCUGACGACGGAAUAAUGAGUCACCUUGUGAGAUUUCAUCACUGGAUUCCGUGAAGCGGGAUAUGAACCAAACUUUUUCAAAAGUUGACGGGUUUUGAAUAGAAAACAUCGACGGAUGAAUUUUUUUGAAAAACGCUGAAAGUUGGAUUCACGAAACAUGAUUACCCAAUCGGAAACUAACUCGAAAAUAAGGGAAGCACACGCAUACAUUAGAGUUUUUGAGCACUUGAUUAGCCGAUGAAACACCAGCUGCAAAAAUGAGGAGCCACGGCAAGCCAAACGAAUAAAGCAGCCAAAAUAAAUAUAUGCAGAGAAGAAGAGAGCAAGACAAGUAGAGGCAUCGCAGCAUACCAGCGGCGUUGCCAAAGAAGUGCGUAGACCGGGUGAAAGUCAUUGUUCGGAAAAUGUGAUCGAAAUCAGCAUUCCGUUUGUUUACUGCCUCUAAAUGUGCAGCAAAAUGACAUUUACAAAACAUAUGAGCCGAUCAUACACUCUCAACCUCAAUCCCACACCUCCCUGCGGAGACGACACAAAUUACAUUCGUGGAUGAUUAAUAUAUGACAGUACCAAGUGUUUAAGAUUUAUACUCCCUCUGUCCACAAAAUGUUUGCCACAUCUUGGAUGGCACAGAUUUUAAUAAAAUAUGAGUGGAGUUGUUAGUGGAGUAAGGGUCCCACUUUAAAUGUGAGUGGAGCUGUGUGGACCCUACUACUAUAAAUAAAAGUGGUAAAUUUUUUGUGGACGGACUAAAAAGGAAAUUGUGGCAAAUUUUUCGUGGACGGAGGGAGAACAUCCCAACACUGGACAAUCUUAUAAUCUCUUAGGAUUGUCACAUGUCUUUCAUUUAUGUAUGCAAUAGAUAAUGUCACAUUAAGGGAGAAGUAGAGCUACUUACCUUAUUUCCUAUUGCACGGCCUAGACCACACGCAACCGCAGCAACGUCCAAGUCCCCGACAUGGGGCCGGAGGGUUUUUCUUACCCUGAAAGGAAGGACGACAACGACCUAUAAAAUUAUGUCGUAAUUAUACAGUAUCACGAGAUAACUUACUUUGAGUGAUAACUUAGAUAAAUAUAAAAGAAUUAAGGGUAAAUAUCACUUUUCAGCCCAAAGCAUGCACAUUCUUUCGUACCCAAUAAAUUAACAUUCGUUGACGAACAAUUUUGAGCAUGUUUGAUCAUCUGAUCCUUCAAAUACUCACUCAUAUUUAUCAUCACUCUAAUCUCUCACCCAAAGUAUGAAGGCUAUAAAAUUCAAGAAAAAUCUUACCAAAUCGCAAUCAGCAAGGCAGCCAACUGCCUCGACCCUACACGUUCGAAGACAGAUCUUUCGUCCAACGCCUUGCCGAUAUGAUCUUGCCACCAUUGCCCCACAGAGCUCCCUUCUAACCCUACCUAAACAUGCAAACUCAAUAUUCAAAUUUUUAUUUUAAUCCAAUUUCGAAAAAUUGCACAUUUUUUUUCGGACUUGCAAAAUUGGGCCAUUAUGAUGUAGUCAAAUGCGUACCGUUUCUCUUGCUGCUGACAUGGCUAGAAAACCCGCACCCAUCUCCACCUCCUGCAGCCCGACAACCACGAUAUCAACGUCGGAGACUGCAGAGCCCAACCACGACUUGAGGGCCGUCUGAGAAGCUCGUCCUUGGCCAACGUUCCACGUCCCCACCAUAAUGGUCACGUUCUCCCGCCUCGUGUACAUGUCUGACCGCUCGGAUAGCUCUUGCCGCAAUAUGCUAUCCGUGGAUGCAGGGGAGGCUAUGUUCCACCCCCUUAUGCCGCCGUGUGUGGCUAAACUGAAGAGAUACCCGUGGCCAACAACGAGCUUUAUAACGGGCUCGUUGUGGGCAACCCACCCGGCUACUAGGCCUCCCUCGAGGUCUAGUAUCUGGAUGUUGCCCGUGGCAUACCCAACCCACACCCUCGCCCCGUGGGAGCAGAUGCUCUGCACGGCAGCAGGGUGGCGGGUGAAAUCCUGCACGCGGUUGCCAUUCCCAUCCCAAUGGAUCAACAACCCAUUGGAACAACCCGUCCAGAUCACGCCAUCUGCAGCGAUCAUCAUUGCCUCUAUCUUCUUCGUGUCUUCGACCAAAGCCCCCGCCCCCUUUGCCACUCUGCGGACAGCAUCCGCUGCGCCUAUAAGAGCAUUGCGCGACCUCUGCAGGAAGCCCUGCGGUUUGUCCUUCUUGCCCUUGGAGACAAGCUUGGCAUUCGCCUCGUCUUCAACCGGUUGGUCCUGUGGCAUAUCUACGCGAUUCUCAAUCUGGCCUUCUAUGUUGAAUACCUUCAGAAGCUCCCUUGUCCGAGCAUUCCUGCUCAUUGAAAAAUGAUCAGAUUCUGCUGGUUUUCUUCAGUCAAUAAAUUAAUAAUUUAUUAAUUAAAAGAGAUCACUUACACGAUUUACAUGAAUUUUGUGUGUAAUCAAAAUUCGUGAAACAUUAUCAAUAACACUAUUACACGAAAUAAUAAAUUCGUGUAACAAUAUACAUAACACUGUCACGCGAAUUUUGGUUACACACAACAUUCGUGUAAAUAGUGUAAAUGUGUAAGAGCAUGAUAGUAAAAAAUGAUUACUAUUUCCAUAUUUUUAUCUAUAUGGCUAUAAUUUUCUAUUACUAUAUGAUUUUAGCUCGAAUAAGGUGUCGGAAAAACACUAUAACAGACUGAAUACGUGAGGCAACGUACCAUAGUGAGAAAAUUUGAGAGCCUGCAGCCCAAACUUUGGCUCUAACGUUGUCGGAUAACAAAUAUUUAACAUCUGAAGAGGAAAUGUUGCAGACGCCGUUAACAGUGACUUGAGCUCUCAAGUCGAUGACUGAUCUCUCGACCAGCAGAGCGGCCAUUCGUCUCUCCUCCUGCGUUAGUCCAAGAGAUUUUUCGAGAGAUUCCCAUGGCCAGAUCCUUAUAAUGCCGCCCUCUGUGCCCGUCCAUAUAUCACCUUCAUACAAGCCAAGAAAUUAUCAGAAACAGAAGUAUUAGCCAUUUUGAUACGUCCCACAAAAGUGUGUAUUUUCCAUUUUUGGAGACUGCCCCACCGCAAACCCUUAUUCACUACUUUACCACACAUGUCCCACCACAAAUCCCUAAUUUUUUAUUUUCACUAUCAUAACGAUACAAUUAAAACACAUUUAAUGGUAAAAUAAGCAUCAUCUAAAUAUGAAAUGGAAAAAAGAACUUUACCAUAGAAAGACAUUGUCAUGGAAAGAACUGGAGUUCUAUGUGCUUGCCAAGAGAAGCCUUCCUUGAAGGCAUUGCCGUCGGUGAACUGCUGCUCCAUCUUCCACGAACGAACCUUACCGUCCUUGUGUCCGCUCCAAACGAGCUUACUCCCUUCAUCGACCAUCAAGCAGAGCGUCUGAGACGUGCUUGCUGACUCGUGAAACGUGGCUGUCUCCUCGUCUCCUCUUGGUAGCCUUCGCCCUGCUGUCCCCGUGAAGGACCCCGGGUCGAAUGUGUCCGAAUACUUCCACACUCUUACACCGGAUUCCUGCCCCGCCCACAGCUGCGUGUCUGUGCUGGCAAUCGUCUUUAUGAAUUUUCCGUUCUGUAGAAGUCCAGAAGCUUCUAGAUUCUUAUACACUUUAUAGACUUAUUAUCAAGCAAAGCACACAAUGAUUCACUACUUAAUGUUUUGCUAUCCCAAAUUUCACUUCUUUUUUGUUGAGAAAUUUCAAACAAGGAAAUGAGUGAGCAGAGACAAGAAUGCAAAAGACAUCACAAAAUCAAACACAACCAGAUAAAUCAUAUAAUACAUAUUGCACCAAAUAUAAUUCUAGGUCAUGUCUAUUUUGAGGAUUAUUAAUAAUUUAGGGAUAAAAUGUUGGAUAUGAUAAAAAGAAGCUAUAUGAAUGCUGCAAUGAAGAAAAAGAUUGAUAAAUCAAUAUAUAUUCACUUGUUUAGUAAGCUUCAGUUUUCAAUUUAUGCACCAACUAUUACUCAUUUUGCAAAUUUGACACAACCUUUGAAAUAUUGCAAAUGUCUACCACCUUUCAAAAUCCAAGUUAAAAUUAAAAUUGUAAAAUGAGUUCAAUUUCUUGCAUUAACUACAAUUAACACUCUUUAAUCACUCAAAAUCAAGAAACUUUAUACAUAUAUAUCCAACCUGAGAUUCCCUCAAAGGGUGAGGUCUAAUCUCGAGGCACGGCGGCCGGUUGGGGUGCAUCGCCGCUCUAGUAGGGGCCUUGAACACCCCGACCCCGCCGCCGCUGCCCAUGAACUCCGGCAGCGGCUGGUAUGGCAGCAGCUGCGAGUCGUCGAAGCCGUUGCCGCCCUCCCCCAUCCCGACGUAAUCCAUCAUGUCGACGGCGCCGCCGACGCUCCCGGUUGUGAUGGGAUAGCGGUAGAAGUCUUCCUCGUCGUCGGCGCCCUCGCCACCGCUGCCGCUGCCGCCGCCGCCGCCGCCGAGGAUGUCGAUCUCGUCGAGGCUGUGGUUGCGGGGGUGGUUCGCGUGGCGGGGGUGGUGGCCGCCGGUCAUCGUCCGCAGCUGCUGGCUGUAGGAGUGGGUUUUCCGGCGCGGCGGCGAGUUGGAUAGCGCCUCCAGCGCCUUGAUGUCGGGAUCUUUGGAGCGAUCAUCCAUUUUUUCUAAUUUUUCUUUGUUUUUUUCUUUUGUGAUGAAAAAAGUUAGUGUUUUGUUGAAGUUGGGAGAUGGGAAAGAGGAGAGAAGUUGAGCAUUGUGGGAAAAUUUGGGAGGGAGAGUGAAUGUGGGGAGGAGAAAGAAAGAGUCAGAAUGUUGAGGAGAGAGAAACAAAAAUAGAGAGAGAGAGAGGUAGUUAGUUGGCGGUUAAGAAGGCGAAAGAUUUUGGGAAUGUUAGGACAAGGUGGUUUCGUUUUAAAACUGAGACUGUAGUCUAAUAUUUAUUAUAAUUAUAUUACUAUAUAAUAGUAUUAUUUAAAUAAAUAAAUUUCUUGUAUGUGUAUUUAAAAUUUUAAAUGAUUUUUUGUAAAUGCUAAGUAAAGAUAUAUAGUAUUGAAAUAUAAGAUGAAAUGGAGUAUUAUCAGUGGUCUUGUGUUCCAAUCUAUGUUGCAUAGGUACGGAGGUGCGGAUACGGGGGCGAUACGAUACGAGUACGGGGAUACGAGUUUUUAAAAAUUAUAUGGUGCGAUUCGGCAAUGAUACAUCUAAUUAUUAAAAUUUUAUGAUAUAUAAUGCUUAUAAAAUAUAUGCAAUUUAAAUUUUCUUAAAUUAAUUAUAUGUAAUUUGCAUUUUAUUUUACCCAAUAAUUAAGCAUUUUCAAUUAUAUAAGUUAAUUGAGCAACAAUAUAACGAUUUAAAUAUUAUUAGUCCAAUAUAUAAGUCAUAACUUAAAAUAAAAUUAUCAAAAUAACCUUAUAUCUACACCUUUCAUGCAUGAGAUACGUGAAUUUCGCCUAUGGAAUUUGCGAAUCCAGUUUAUUUUUAUAAAUUGUUUUAAAAGAUACGCCACGUGGCGAAUCGGGUGCGAAUCCGACGAGAAUCGCACCCUAAAAGAAUCCGAUUCGCCGUACAUACUAAUUUUUGAAGAAUCCGUGCAUCAUAGGUUCCAAUUCAUAAUUCGUUUUGUUUUGUUUUGUUUUGUUUUGAUUUUUUUUUUUUUUUUUUUUUUUUUUUUGAAAAUACUACAUAUUUUCUCAUCAUAAAUUUGAGUCUGUAACAUAGUUUACCUAUCUUGUGUAGUUUGCAGGUGAAUCGAAUGUAGUGACUGCGGAUUACCUACGUAGUACAACAAAAAAAAAUAUACUACACAGUACAUACAAUUUAUAAAAUUUUGAUAAAGAAAAAAAACAAUGGGGCUUUCUGAUUUUGCAAACAAAUUACUUUCAAUGCUCUAAAAAGCAUAACUAUGCUCAAAUAUUAGACUUUGAUUCUUACAAUAAUCUGUUAAAUCUGGAAAUAUGCUUCUAUGUGGCGAUAUGUUUCUAUCUGCUGGGAGAAUGAUCAAAGCGAGGCAUGGCGUAGAGAUCUUCUCCAUCUCCCUAGCUUCUCUCGCCCCUGCCAUGAAUUCAACGACGACAUUUUAGGAUUCCCGCUGUUUAAGAGCUUAUUUUGCCAAACACUUAUAAAUCUCAGGCAAACACCAUCUAAGCAACAUGCGAACGAGAGAUGCCACACGGAGUCAAUUUACCUUCCGAGGUGCAAUGGCCAACUCAUUCUCUGAAAUACUCGUUGCUUCGAAACCAACGGGAUGCAACGCCUCUUCAUAACUGCGUAGUUAGAAAUAAACAUCUUAUAAGUUGUAGAGAAAAAGGAUAGGUAUUGAAAAUCCGACAAUAUAAAAUACUGGAGCUGAGACGAAGUGGGAAUUACUCGGCAACUGAUACUUUAAACGGAGGGCCGCCCUCAUGAUCAUCGAUCUAACAACAACAAGAAUAUCAAGAAUAUGCAAAAUCAUAAGGAAAGAUAUAGUCUGACAAUGUUAGCCUAGUGAUAGAGUGAUUAAUGUCUGGGGGCAAAGGUCUCAGAUUCAAGUCUUUAAAUAUUCUCGACUAACCGGAUACAUUAGUGUUAUGAGCUCCCCAUCCGGUUUUAGAAGAUCGGAUAUUUUCUUGGUCCCACAAUGAUCUUAGCUCGGGUUCGAUGGCACAGAAAAACCUGUAGAGCUGACGAACAUUAAUGAAAAAUACAGCAUAAGUUCNCGAAUAGUUGUAGGAGGAGAGAACAAAAUAAAGAGAGAGAGAGAGAGGUAGUUAGUUGGCGGUUAAGAAGGCGAAAGAUUUUGGGAAUGUUAGGACAAGGUGGUUUCGUUUUAAAACUGAGACUGUAGUCUAAUAUUUAUUAUAAUUAUAAUUAUUCUGUACUAUAAUUAUAUUACUAUAUAAUAGUAUUAUUUAAAUAAAUAAAUUUCGUGUAUGUGUAUUAGAAAUUUUAAAUGAUUUUUGUAAAUGCUAAGUAAAGAUAUAUAGUAUUGAAAUAUAAGAUGAAAUGGAGUAUUAUCAGUGGUCUUGUGUUCCAAUUCAUAAUUCGUUUUGUUUUGAUCUUUUUUUUUUUGGAAUACAAAAUACUAUAUAUUUUCUCAUCAUAAAUUUGAGUCUGUAACAUAGUUUACCUAUCUUGUGUAGUUUGCAGGUGAAUCGAAUGUAGUGACUGCGGAUUACCUACGUAAGCAACAAAAAAAAAUUACACAAUUUAGAAAAUAGAGAUAAGAAAGAAAAAAAAAAAAAAACUAUGGGGGGCUUCUGAUUUUGCAAACAAAUACUUCCAAUGCUCUAAAGCAUAACUAUGCUCAAAUAUUAGACUUUGAUUCUUACAAUAAUAAUCUGUUAAAUCUGGAAAUAUGCUUAUGUUUCUAUCUGCUGGGAGAAUGAUCAAAGCGAGGCGUGGCGUAGAGAUCUUCUCCAUCUCCCUAGCUUCUCUCGUCCCUGCCAUGAAUUCAACGACGACGUUUCAGAAUCCCCGUUGCAGAUUUAGCAUAUAGGAAGCUUAUAAGCUGUUUAAGAGCUUAUUUUGCCAAAUACUCAUAAAUCUCAGACAAGCAUCCUCUAAGCAACAUGCGAACGAGAGAUUCCACACCGAGUUAAUUUACCUUCCGAGGAGCAAUGGCCAACUCAUUCUCUGAAAUACUCGUUGCUUCGAAACCAACGGGAUGCAACGCCUUUUCAUAACUGUGUAGUUAGAAAUAAACAUCUUAUAAGUUGUAGAGAAAAGGAUAGGUAUUGAAAAUCCGACAAUAUAAAAUACUGGAGCUGAGACGAAAUGGGAAUUACUCGGCAACUGAUACUUUAAACGGAGGGCCGCCCUCGUGAUCAUCGAUCUAACAACAACAAGAAUAUCAAGAAUAUGCAAAAUCAUAAGGAAAGAUAUAGUCUGACAAUGUUAGCCUAGUGAUAGAGUGAUUAAUGUCUGGGGGCAAAGGUCUCAGAUUCAAGUCUUUAAAUAUUCUCGACUAACCGGAUACAUUAGUGUUAUGAGCUCCCCAUCCGGUUUUAGAAGAUCGGAUAUUUUCUUGGCCCACAAUGAUCUUAGCUCGGGUUCGAUGGCACAGAAAAACCUGUAGAGCUGACGAACAUUAAUGAAAAAUACAGCAUAAGUUCUUGACUACAGGACAGAGGAAACUUACGUGUAAUCGAAAAUGAGAUCAAAUGGCUGAUCCGGACACCAAGUAAAGAAGUCUGUCUUUAAGAAAGUACAGUGCUCUGCCUUUGGUGAGCCAGACAUCAACUACAACGUAACGCAACAAUGAAACUGGAUGAAUUCUAACGCGAGGUUUGGAGAAAGAAACGUAAUCCUAUUGAUAUUGUGGAUUACACAGAAGAACCUACUAUCAUACAAUAUAUUAAAAAUGUACUGCAAAUACGAUGAAUCUUCUCGUUAAGUUCAGGUUCAAAAAUAUACAGAGAAAUUACUCAAUACGAACGAAGAGAGUCAUCCGAUUUGAUACAAAGAUUAACAUAGGGACAUAGCAACAUUCACAAAAUAAAAAUAUAACACAAAAUUACUUCGAACAUCAUAUGAUAAGCUCUGUAUCGCAUCGCAUAAUCAAACUAGUGAAGUUCCGUGGUCUUUUUUCUAGAUUUCCAUCAACAUCAAAUUUCAUCAAGUUAUGAGCUUUUAUAUAUGGGAAAAAAAAACAGAUCUUACUUCCAUUGCUUUCUUAAUGGCAUUGUCCGAUACGUCCAGACCUACAACAUGACGCUCAGCACACGCAAUCGCCACCACAUCGUAACCCUGAACAAAUAGAAAUUUCUAAUGGGAAGCCAUACUAGAGAUAGAAAACUGAAAAAGAGAAUAGAAAAAUGAAAGCACAAACUAACUGUAAAGUCCAAAUAUAUAUUGUAUAAAAUAGAAAUCAUUUUUAGUGUGAAGAUCUAUAAAUUCAUGACUUCACUGAUGAAUUUGUGGUCCUGGUUCGAACCUCAUAGGUGGUGAAAAUUCCAUUUUUUCAAAUUCAUCAUUUUUCACAGCGAAUUCAUACACUCUCAGAGUAAAAUCAUAGUGAACUUAUUUUAUACGAAAAACAUGGUUUGUGUAAUAACCGCUCCAACCAAAGUAUAACACGAAACAAAUUAUACAAUGAUCAAUCCACGGUUAAGAAGGCACUGUAUCAAGAAAGAUACGCAAGUUCCCAUUUCCACUCAAUCCACAGUUUUUCGUAAUCAAAUGAACAAAAUCUAGGUACUUUGAUACUUUAUACAUCAAAUUUUUGUCAAUUUUCAGACUAUUAGCACAUUACACAAAACAACCUCAGGUAAAUGCUGCAACAUAUAAGUAAGAAUCUAAAGGUUUUUCCAUAAUCAUGAAUUGCUCUCCAAUUAGCACCAAUUUCUCUACCACCCCUAUUUCAUGAAUUAAGCUCUAAAUUGUGAUUUUACAUAUGAAAUAAUAAUUCUACCUCCAAAUACACGAACUUUCAACUGUUAUGAUUUUACAAGAUUGUCAAUUGCUCGCAAAUUAAUGUUGAGGUGGACACGCCUAAAAUGUCUACAUGGCUUGCACGGCCAAUGUAUUAAACGAAAUAAUCGGAUGUCUACACCACUUCAGCUAGUCGGGAUGACAUUAAUUAGUGACUUCAGCUAGCUGCAAUGACAUAUUACCCCUUCUAAUUGUCUCUACCUUAAAACCAAACAUUCUUCACAAACAUAAACAUCCACAUUCCCUUGAACUAAUCAAAACUUAAGAGAGAGAGAGAGAGAGAGAGAAGCUUACACUACCGCAACCAGGAACAAGAGCUCUGCCCUUGGGAAGGGAUCCAGUGUUGUGAAGGUGUACAAGAACUGGGGUAGGGCUCCCCAAAUCCCAAGGCGUCAGACCUUCGUCCCAGCAUUUGUCCCAACUAUCUGAAAAAUCCCACCAAUAAAGAUUCAAUUUUUCUCAAAGAAACAAAGAAAAAGGAAGAACCCAGAAUUCAUGUGUUCAAAUUUCUUGAUAAUUGGCUUAGAAUUUACUUACUGGUAGAGUGAAAAACUUCUUGAAAUUUCUUGACCUUUUCAGCAGCAGUGAUUGGGGGUUUUGGUUCCGGUAAAUCAGUUGACAUAUCGUUGAAGCGAAUUGAACGGUAGUAAGGUGGGAGAAGUCGAAGUGCAGGUGAAUAGUAGAAUUUGGGAAUGAGGGAAAAUCGCAUUGGGGGUUUUGGGAAGGUUGACUUUGAGGUUUUCGAAUUGAAGAAGAAAGAUUGGUUGACUUAAUUUAGAAAUUUUGUUUAAUUUUAUUUUUUGCUGGAGGAUAAAAUCAUAAAUUAUGAGCGGUUUCUUGUCAGGUUUAAUCGUCCCAGUAAUAAAAGAUACUUUUAUUAAUAACAAAUUAAAUAACACAAUAAAAUAUAAUACUAUAAAAUAUUUUUAGGGGUUAUUAUUAACAAAAAAAUACCAUAAAUUUGUUAAUUUUCUUGUAUAUAUUAUUGUUAUUAUUAUUUUAUAACAAAAGCAUACAUGUAUUAAAUAUUGAUUCCAAAUCGUCUCCAGACUUGUAAUUUUGCCCAAAUUCAAUUUGAUAUGUGGAUAAUAAGAAAGAUCCACAGGAAAAAAUAAUUGAAGAACAUGGUGGUAUCGGAAGUUUGAGAAAUUGAGAAUAAUGAUAAAUUAAGUGGCUAAGUUAGCCUACUAUUUUUUUUAGGAAAAAGAAGAACUCUUACUACUCCAAAUCAAAAGAAGCAAAUAUUUAGAAAGUCAAGAGGAAAGUCCGGCUUCUAAAUCAUUAUAUCAGAUGAAGAAAUAGCCUCACGACGAGCAAUAAAAAAAAUACUAAAACCACUGUAUAGCACGAGCAUACAAGAGAACGCAUCAAAACAUAUCANCGAUCUCGAUUUUCGGGACGAGAUCGAUCAGCUCGGUGCCCGGAGCAUCUGCUUCGACAAACGCAGCGCCCUGGUCGCUGCAAUCGACCAGAUCGUCAUUCUUGAUGAAUCUUCCAGCCAGAAUAUAGAAAUCAAUCAAGAUUUUGGCCAGUGAUUCUUCCAAUAUAUGGCUGCUGGUAUAUGCUGCUCUCGAUUCGUAAAACAGAACCACAGCAAAAUUCAUGGCCGCUUCAUACUUAUCUAUCAAAGAUAACUUGUAGUUUUUGAGGUUUUGAGGAGUUGGUGUGCGUGGUUUUAUCAAUUUGCAGCUGAGUUUUUCAACCUUCAUGUUUGCAGGGGUUGGUUUUCAUGCCUACAUUCAUGUAUAUGUACUCGAUGACUAGCCAUUACAACUAAUUUUCAAAUUGGGAGGGAAAUUUAAAUUAGAGGUUCUAGUUCUAAUGAUUAGGCUUAAUUUUAUACUAUUCAAGGCGUGCAAGGAGAUAGAUUGGAAUUUUAAUAAUUAGUACUUAGGUGAAGUUGACUUCUACUCUCUUCGUCGUGCUAUUUGUUGCUUACUUCUAUUCGGUGCAAAAACUAAGGAGAAUGUGUAAAUUAAAUAAAAGUGAUGGACCUCACACACUUUCAAGAGUUAGUAUCUUUUAUGAAAAUGAGCUACUUUUAGUGGAACAGAUCAAAAUCUAGGUACUUUGAUACUUUAUACAUCAAAUUUUUGUCAAUUUUCAGACUAUUAGCACAUUACACAAAACAACCUCAGGUAAAUGCUGCAACAAAUAAGUAAGAAUCUAAAGGUUUUUCCAUAAUCAUGAAUUGCUCUCCAAUUAGCACCAAUUUCUCUACCACCCCUAUUUCAUGAAUUAAGCUCUAAAUUGUGAUUUUACAUAUGAAAUAAUAAUUCUACCUCCAAAUACACGAACUUUCAACUGUUAUGAUUUUACAAGAUUGUCAAUUGCUCACAAAUUAAUGUUGAGGUGGACACGCCUAAAAUGUCUACAUGGCUUGCACGGCCGAUGUAUUAAACGAAAUAAUUGGAUGUCUACACCACUUCAGCUAGUCGUGAUGACAUUAAUUAGUGACUUCAGCUAGAUGCAAUGACAUAUUACCCCUUCUAAUUGUGUCUACCUUAAAACUAAACAUUCUUCACAAACAUAAACAUCCACAUUCCCUUGAACUAAUCAAAACUUAAGAGAGAGGCUUACACUACCGCAGCCAGGAACAAGAGCUCUGCCCUUGGGAAGGGAUCCAGUGUUGUGAAGGUGUACAAGAACUGGGGUAGGGCUCCCCAAAUCCCAAGGCGUCAGACCUUCGUCCCAGCAUUUGUCCCAACUAUCUGAAAAAUCCCACCAAAAAAGAUCCAAUUUUUCUCAAAGAAACAAGGAAAAAGGAAGAACCCAGAAUUCAUGUGUUCAAACUUCUUGAAAUUUCUUGACCUUUUCAGCAGCAGUGAUUGGGGGUUUUGGUUCCGGUAAAUCAGUUGACAUAUCGUUUAAGCGAAUUGAACGGUAGUAAGGUGGGAGAAGCCGAAGUGCAGGUGAAUAGUAGAAUUUGGGAAUGAGGGAAAAUCGCAUUGGGGGUUUUGGGAAGGUUGACUUUGAGGUUUUCGAAUUGAAGAAGAAAGAUUGGUUGACUUAAUUUAGAAAUUUUGUACUAUAAUUUUAUUUUUUGCUGGCGGAUAAAAUCAUAAAUUAUGAGCGGUUUCUUGUCAGGUUUCGUCCCACUAAUAAAAGAUACUUUUAUUAAUAACAAAUUAAAUAACACAAUAAAAUAUAAUACUAUAAAAUUCUAUUUUUUGGGGUUAUUAUUAACAAAAAAAUAUCAUAAAUUUGUUAAUUUUCUUGUAUAUAUUAUUGUUAUUAUUAUUUUAUAACAAAAGCAUACAUGUAUUAAAUAUUGAUUCCAAAUCGUCUCCAGACUUGUAAUUUUGCCCAAAUUCAAUUUGAUAUGUGGAUAAUAAGAAAGAUCCACAGGAAAAAAUAAUUGAAGAACAUGGUGGUAUCGGAAGUUUGAGAAAUUGAGAAUAAUGAUAAAUUAAGUGGCUAAGUUAGCCUACUAUUUUUUUUAGGAAAAAGAAGAACUCUUACUACUCCAAAUCAAAAGAAGCAAUAUUUGAAAGUCAAGAGGAAAGUCCGGCUUCUAAAUCAUUAUAUCAGAUGAAGAAAUAGCAAAGCGAGCUAGUGCUCAUGAGCAGCUCUAUUAGCCUCACGACGAGCAUGAAAAAAAAUCUAAAACCAUUGUAGCACGAGCAUGCGAGAACACAUCAAACAGAUCAUCACACAAAGAAAUUAGAUCAUCGCAUCAAACAGAACACGAAUUAGAUCUUGACCCAUAAAAAUAAUGUAAUUAUACUUUAUUACUUAUAGAUAUAUCUAUAAGACGAGAUCCGUCAGUCAACAUCUAUAAGUCCAGAUCCAAUUUAUACAUCUAUUAGUCAAGAUCAACAUCUAUAAGUCAAAGAAAUUCAUAUCAACAUAUGGCUAGCUAGUGUAAUAGAGGAAUCAAUCUGUUCUUGCUUGCCAAUUCUAUCAAUAUAUUUAUUUUGUUCACCUUGAGAAAUCGAGAGAGAAAGCCUGUGUUGCAAACAUGAAAACAAUCGUAGUUAGAAGAAAGUUGAUAAAACCAUCUAUCCCAACAUCUCAAAACCUCAAAAAUUACAAACUCUCGUGCAUAGAUGAGCUUGCUCCAUCCACCAACAUCGGCGUCCUUCUCUUCUAUCCAUCAAGACCGGAAGGAAUCAUUCAAACACUCGAAGAAUCUUUGCAAAAGAUCUUACCCCAAUUCUACGUUCUUGCUGGAAGAUACAUCAAGAGUGAUUACUCCAUUGAUUGCAGCGAUCAGGGCGCCGAGUUUGUCGAAGCAGAAGCUCCCGAUGAUGCAUUGGCCGACCUUGUCGGGACGACUGAGCAACUCAACGAUCUCCUUCCACGACGAUCUUACCAAAUGGAUGGAGCAUCGGAUCCAUUGCUGUCGGUUCAGAUCACAGAUCUGAACCACGGUGGGUUGGUGAUUGGAGUCAGUGUCUCGCACAGGAUCUUCGACACUUCUUCACUAGCGACAUUCAUUGCCGCAUGGUCGAAUGCCGGUAGCAGUGUGGGUGUCAUCCCAAGCUUCGGUGAGUCUACUGCGCUUUUCCCAGGCAGGCACUGGGUAAACCCUAAUGUGGAAUGUUCUAGAAUCGAGGAUCUUGGAGUCGUGUGUAAAAGGUUGUGUUUCAACAAGGAAGCCAUAGACAGUAUUAGGUUAGGGUUAAGGCCGAAAAAUGGGAAACUAGGGUUUUCCAAGGUGGUGGUGGUGUCGGCCGUGAUAGCCAGAGCCCUUAUCGGCCUAGAUAGGGCGAAACACGGCGGGUCUAGGGAUUGUUACAUCAAUCAUGCAGUUAACAUGUGGGAGAGAACAAUCCCACCUCUGCAGGAGCAUGCAUGUGGAAAUCUGGUGUUGCAGGCGCUAAGCAGUCGCGUUGUGGCAGAAGAAGCUAAGGAGAUAGGAAUUCAAGGACUGGUUGAUUUGAUGGGUGAUGCCAUUGGAAGAUCCGUUUCAAAGUGUGCUGGGUUUGGCUUGGAUGGUGGGAGCAAGGUCACUCUGAAACCAGUGGUGAAAGCAAUCCCCAGCCGUGAUGAAGCUUAUGCUGCGUGGUUUAGCGAUUGGAGCAAGUUUGGAUUCUUUGAAGCUGACUUCGGGUGGGGAAAGCCUGCUUGGGCCGGCAUUGCUCCGAUGCAUGCUGCAAACACGACGUUGCUGAUGGGAAACAGAGAUGGGGAUGGAAUUGAGGCGUGGGUGCAUUUGCACGAGGAUGACAUGAAGUUGUUUGAGCAAGAUGGGGAAAUUAGAUUGUUUGCAACCUAAGAUGUUGAUGAUGUUAUGGAAAAAUUGUAUUGUGCUAUAAAUAGUUAGUUUGCGAGUGACUUUGUAUUACUAAAACAGCACGUGUUGUGUUCGUAUGUUGACUUAGUGAUAGUGUGGUUAAUGACUAAAGUCAAAGAUUUUAGAUUUAAGUUUAGCGUCACACAAACCUUUCAAUAAUCUUUUAAAAUAUUUGUUUUCUUCUAACGAUUAAUUUACAAAAUAAACUAUAUAUACUAAGUUUUAUCAUUUCCAACAUAUAUGUUUCUCAUUUCAUUUCUUUCGAUUUUCUCUCUCUCCCUCUCUAACUAUGAUUACUAUCUGUGCAUCACAAUUCUCAGUUAUAAACUUAAUUAUCCAAACACUCAGACAACUUAUAAGCUCAUGACAUAUAUUAUAAAUUAUUAGAGUUUAUAAUAUAUGCAUUCUCAAACUCAUUAUGUUUUUAUAUUCAUUCAGUAAUUGCUCCUUUAAUUUAUUAUUGUUGAUUUACAGGUUGAUGAGCAUUGGAGUUCUGGAGUGUAUGUUCCCAGGUAAAGUUUUAAUGAACCUCAACUCAUUGUGUAUACUUUUUGUUUAUUUAUUAUUUGCGUGUUGUAGGUUAAAUCUCUUCCCCAUUCGAGCUGUAGUCUUGUUGUUGCAAUUCUCAGGUGUUCAUCUUUGUACUCCUUUCUCUGCAAAAAAAAUGUUUUUCUUAGUUAUGUUGUAAGGAAUUGUUUAGAAUCCAGUUCGACCCAUGAGUCUUUGUUUGUAAUUUCUGGAGAUUUAAGCUUUAUUUCUGUUCGUGAAUUGUGAUUUUUGUUUCUUGGUUGUUUAGAAUCCAGUAAAAUGAAAAUCGGGUUGCUUAAUACUUUCUUAUUAGC